CCUACGGGUGGCAGCAGUGGGGAAUAUUGGACAAUGGGGGAAACCCUGAUCCAGCGACGCCGCGUGAGUGAAGAAGUAUUUCGGUACGUAAAGCCCUAUCAGCAGGGAAGAAAAUGACGGUACCUGACUAAGAAGCCCCGGCUAACUACGUGCCAGCAGCCGCGGUAAUACGUAGGGGGCAAGCGUUAUCCGGAUUUACUGGGUGUAAAGGGAGCGUAGACGGCAGAGCAAGUCUGGUGUGAAAUGCAGGGGCCAAACCCCGGAGAGCCGUUGAAACUGGCUGUCUUGAGAUGUCGAGAGGUAUGCGGAAUGCGCAGUGUAGCGGUGAAAUGCUUAGAUAUUGCGCAGAACUCCGAUUGCGAAGGCAGCAUACCGGCGGCGAUCUGACGCUGAGGCACGAAAGCGUGGGUAUCGAACAGGAUUAGAUACCCCUGUAGUC
rnacentral:rRNA from 1 species